rnacentral:tRNA from 1 species
UGCUCCUAAAGCAUUGCUGGCGAUGCAGUUGCCUUGUAAGCAUCUGAACUAGGUUCGACUCCUGGUGGGAGCACCAA